GGUCACUAAUAAGUUGGGGCGUUCUGAUGAUUAUGGAUUCAUUGAUCCCCAAUCAAUUCAUGAAUCAAAUGAUUUUGAGCAUAUCAACAUGAGUCUGAUAAGAAGUUUUGGAAGGGGCAAGAAAAUAUACUUUUUGCCUUAUAUAUCCGGGCGCCAUUGGCAACUUCUUGUUAUGUCUAUGCAAGACAACUAUGCUUUGUGGUUCUGCUCAUUGCACAGGCCUCCUCCCACACAACUCAAACAAGCAAUUGAUUGUUCUAUUCCAGCAAGUAUGAUGAUGGGUGGGAGAUCAAUUGUUAACAGUAGAAAGAUUGCUU